AUCAACUUUCGAUGGUAGGAUAGAGGCCUACCAUGGUAGUAACGGGUAACGGGGAAUUAGGGUUCGAUUCCGGAGAGGGAGCCUGAGAAACGGCUACCACAUCCAAGGAUGGCAGCAGGCGCGCAAAUUACCCAAUCCCGACACGGGGAGGUAGUGACAAUAAAUAACAAUACGGGGUUCUUUCGGAUUUCGUAAUUGGAAUGAGUACAAUUUAAAUCUCUUAACGAGGAACAAUUGGAGGGCAAGUCUGGUGCCAGCAGCCGCGGUAAUUCCAGCUCCAAUAGCGUAUAUUAAAGUUGCUGCAGUUAAAAAGCUCGUAGUUGAAUUUCGGGACCAAUAUGUCGGUCGUGCCUCGGUACGUACUGGCAUCGUUGGUUUCUCCCUUCUGACGAACCAUGAUGUCAUUUAUUUGGUGUCGUGGGGAAUCAGGACUGUUACUUUGAAAAAAUUAGAGUGUUUAAAGCAGGCUCACGCUUGAAUACAUUAGCAUGGAAUAAUGAAAUAGGACGUUUGAUUCUAUUUUGUUGGUUUCUAGGAUCGACGUAAUGAUUAAUAGGGAUAGUUGGGGGCAUUAGUAUUCAAUUGUCAGAGGUGAAAUUCUUGGAUUUAUUGAAGACUAACUACUGCGAAAGCAUUUGCCAAGGAUGUUUUCAUUAAUCAAGAACGAAAGUUAGGGGAUCGAAGACGAUCAGAUACCGUCGUAGUCUUAACCAUAAACUAUGCCGACUAGGGAUCGGAUGAUGUUAAUUUUUUAAUGACUCAUUCGGCGCCUUACGGGAAACCAAAGUGUUUGGGUUC
rnacentral:rRNA from 1 species